CGUAGGGUGCGAGCGUUAAUCGGAAUUACUGGGCGUAAAGCGUGCGCAGGCGGUUUGUUAAGAUAGGCGUGAAAUCCCCGGGCUCAACCUGGGAACUGCGCUUAUGACUGGCAAGCUAGAGUACGGCAGAGGGGGUGGAAUUCCACGUGUAGCAGUGAAAUGCGUAGAGAUGUGGAGGAACACCAAUGGCGAAGGCAGCCCCCUGGGUCGAUACUGACGCUCAUGCACGAAAGCGUGGGUAGCAAACAGGAUUAGAUACCCUGGUAGUCCACGCCCUAAACGAUGUCAACUAGGUGUUGGAUGGGUAAAACCAUUUAGUACCGGAGCUAACGCGUGAAGUUGACCGCCUGGGGAGUACGGCCGCAAGGUU
rnacentral:rRNA from 1 species